GACGAACGCUGGCGGCGUGCUUAACACAUGCAAGUCGAGCGGAGCGGCGAACGGGUGAGUAACGCGUGAGUAACUGCCCCUCACCCUGGGUUCUUAGUUGGAAACGGCUUCUAAUCCCGUAUUGUGCGCGUUGACUCGCGUCCUAUCAGCUUGUUGGUGGGGUAGUGGCCUACCAAGGCGACGACGGGUAGCCGGCCUGAGAGGGCGACCGGCCACAUUGGGCGGAGAUAAGGCCCAAGCUCCUACGGGAGGGAGCAGUGGGGAAUAUUGCACAAUGUGGGAAAGACUGAUGCAGCAAGGCGCGUGGGGGAUGAAGGCGGUCGGGUUGUAAACCUCUACGAAGGCACUAGGGGUAGGUGGAGAAGAAGCGCCGGCUAACUACGUGCCAGCAGCCGCGGUAAUAC
rnacentral:rRNA from 1 species